GAUGAAGAACGUAGCGAAAUGCGAUAAGUAGUGUGAAUUGCAGAAUUCAGUGAAUCAUCGAAUCUUUGAACGCACAUUGCGCCCCAUGGUAUUCCGUGGGGCAUGCCUGUUCGAGCGUCAUUUACCCCCUCAAGCUCCGCUUGGUGUUGGGCGUCUGUCCCGCUUCGCGCGCGGACUCGCCCCAGAGGUAUUGGCAGCGGUCGUGCCAGCUUCUCGCGCAGCACAUUGCGCUUCUCGAGGCACCGGUGGGCCCGCGUCCAUCAAGCUCACCCCCCCAGUUUGACCUCGGAUCAGGUAGGGAUACCCGCUGAACUUAAGCAUAUCAAUAAGCGGAGGA
rnacentral:misc_RNA from 1 species